rnacentral:rRNA from 1 species
CUAAACAUAUUACCGAAGCUGUGGAUUGUCCUUUGGACAAUGGUAGGAGAGCGUUCUAAGGGCGUUGAAGCAUGAUCGCAAGGACAUGUGGAGCGCUUAGAAGUGAGAAUGCCGGUGUGAGUAGCGAAAGACGGGUGAGAAUCCCGUCCACCGAUUGACUAAGGUUUCCAGAGGAAGGCUCGUCCGCUCUGGGUUAGUCGGGUCCUAAGCUGAGGCCGACAGGCGUAGGCGAUGGAUAACAGGUUGAUAUUCCUGUACCACCAUUAUUCGUUUUAAGCGAUGGGGGGACGCAGUAGGAUAGGCGAAGCGUGCUGUUGGAGUGCACGUCCAAGCAGUGAGAUUGAGUGUUAGGCAAAUCCGGCACUCUUAAGAUUGAGCUGUGAUGGGGAGAGGAACUUGUUCCUCGAGUCGUUGAUUUCACACUGCCGAGAAAAGCCUCUAGCUAGAAUAACGGUGCCCGUACCGCAAACCGACACAGGUAGUCAAGAUGAGAAUUCUAAGGUGAGCGAGCGAACUCUCGUUAAGGAACUCGGCAAAAUGACCCCGUAACUUCGGGAGAAGGGGUGCUCUUUGAGGUUCACGCUUCGAAGAGCCGCAGUGAAUAGGCCCAAGCGACUGUUUAUCAAAAACACAGGUCUCUGCUAAACCGUAAGGUGACGUAUAGGGGCUGACGCCUGCCCGGUGCUGGAAGGUUAAGAGGAGUGGUUAGCGCAAGCGAAGCUACGAAUCGAAGCCCCAGUAAACGGCGGCCGUAACUAUAACGGUCCUAAGGUAGCGAAAUUCCUUGUCGGGUAAGUUCCGACCCGCACGAAAGGCGUAACGAUUUGGGCACUGUCUCAACGAGAGACUCGGUGAAAUCAUAGUACCGGUGAAGAUGCCGGUUACCCGCGACAGGACGGAAAGACCCCGUGGAGCUUUACUGUAGCCUGAUAUUGAAAUUCGGUACAGUUUGUACAGGAUAGGUAGGAGCCUUAGAAGCGUGAGCGCUAGCUUACGUGGAGGCAUUGGUGGGAUACUACCCUAAUUGUAUUGGAUUUCUAACCCGCAGCACUUAUCGUGCUGGGAGACAGUGUCAGGCGGGCAGUUUGACUGGGGCGGUCGCCUCCUAAAGAGUAACGGAGGCGCUCAAAGGUUCCCUCAGAAUGGUUGGAAAUCAUUCAUAGAGUGUAAAGGCAUAAGGGAGCUUGACUGCGAGACCUACAAGUCGAGCAGGGUCGAAAGACGGACUUAGUGAUCCGGUGGUUCCGCAUGGAAGGGCCAUCGCUCAACGGAUAAAAGCUACCCCGGGGAUAACAGGCUUAUCUCCCCCAAGAGUUCACAUCGACGGGGAGGUUUGGCACCUCGAUGUCGGCUCAUCGCAUCCUGGGGCUGUAGUCGGUCCCAAGGGUUGGGCUGUUCGCCCAUUAAAGCGGUACGCGAGCUGGGUUCAGAACGUCGUGAGACAGUUCGGUCCCUAUCCGUCGUGGGCGUAGGAAAUUUGAGAGGAGCUGUCCUUAGUACGAGAGGACCGGGAUGGACAUACCUCUGGUGUACCAGUUGUCGUGCCAACGGCAUAGCUGGGUAGCUAUGUAUGGACGGGAUAAGUGCUGAAAGCAUCUAAGCAUGAAGCCCCCCUCGAGAUGAGAUUUCCCAACUUC